AACCAGAAGAGCGCCAUCCUGUGCCGGGUAGCAGCGACUUGCCGCCGUGGUCCACGGAGGAGCGCCACCCUGACCACCACAUCUAGUUUCCCAGGUCGCCUCUCCUCUUCCUUCACAUCAGUUUGAUGCCUGUGCAGUUUGGGUUCAGAGUUAGCACGGUUUGGGUUAGUUUCAUUUCAAAAUUAACUGAUAAUAUGUGUAGUUCUAUGACUUUGCAUCAAUAUCACUGCUGCACCAAAACAAGUUAAAUUAUGUGUAGUUCUAUGAGUUUGCAACAAUGACAAAGAUUGCAGUCCACUAAUUUAUAUACUUUGUUUUUGUUUGGCAGAAUUGAAUGUUGUGCAAAGG